UACACACACUGCCCCCCAUACAUACAGUGCUCCCCAUACACACACUGCCCCACACAGACAUACAUUGCCCCCCAUACACACACUGCCCCAAAAACACAUACAGUGCCCCCAUACACACACUGCCACCCUCACACACACACACACAUUGCCCCACACAUACACUGCCCCCUAACACACACACACUGCAACCCUGACAUACACUGCCCCACUCACAUACACACACUUCAUCGCUCACACACUUCACCCCUAACACACACCACUGCUCCUAUGCCCUAUACCCCAGCAGACCCCAGGUAAGUUGUCAAACUGUUCUUAAACGCUAUGACUACUUACACUACGGUGGGAUCCUGGCACUACUGGCACCAUAACUACUACACUGAGCUGUAGUGGUUAUUGUGCCUGGAUUAUUUAUUUAAAUAAUCUACAAGUGCCCCUCCCGAGAUUAGGCUCUGGAUCUGCCACUGCCAGGCUGAGACUGAGAGAACGCGGCCGGCACCGUCUGUCCGACGCGGUGCUGGUCGCGCAGGGACGGCGGCCAGGCCGAGGCCUACAGUGCAGCCUACAACGCUGAGCGCCACCCGCCAGAAGGCAGCCGGCAGGGCGGCGAAGACAGCAGCGGCCCCCAUGGAGGCCGGGAACGCGGAGGGACGUGGAGGAGGAAGCGGAGACCUGAGGCGUCCCAGUGUAACAGCCGGGCGGCAAGGGGACAGGUAAGAGGCUGUAAAUGGCAGGCAGGCCGUUCCCCUGGUGGCAGGGGGGGGCCCCGGCAACAGAG